rnacentral:rRNA from 1 species
CCUACGGGUGGCAGCAGUGGGGAAUAUUGGACAAUGGGCGCAAGCCUGAUCCAGCCAUGCCGCGUGAGUGACGAAGGCCUUAGGGUUGUAAAGCUCUUUUGGCGGGGAAGAUAAUGACGGUACCCGCAGAAUAAGCUCCGGCUAACUUCGUGCCAGCAGCCGCGGUAAUACGAAGGGAGCUAGCGUUGUUCGGAAUCACUGGGCGUAAAGCGCACGUAGGCGGAUGUGCCAGUCAGGGGUGAAAUCCCGGAGCUCAACUUCGGAACUGCCCUUGAUACAGCACGUCUUGAGUCCGAGAGAGGUGGAUGGAAUUCCUAGUGUAGAGGUGAAAUUCGUAGAUAUUAGGAAGAACACCGGUGGCGAAGGCGGUCCACUGGCUCGGUACUGACGCUGAGGUGCGAAAGCGUGGGGAGCAAACAGGAUUAGAUACCCUAGUAGUC